GCGACCAAAAGAUAGGAUCCACUGUGAAUGACGAUAACACCUUCACCCGCUGGUUUCGAAGUAUUUACACACCGUGCACAGAACCAAUGCUCGUGUAUCGAUGUGACUAUAUAUUGGUUUGGUCCAAUAAAGAAGUACUCCAUCUGAAGAUUGUUCCGUUUGACGAAGUCAAGAAAUGGGUACAAGUCAAUAGCCUUUAAUUGUAUCCCCUCCUGUUCUGCUAUGACAGACAAGAGCCGAGAAGGCGCAUUCGAG
rnacentral:misc_RNA from 1 species